rnacentral:sRNA from 1 species
AUAGAAACUUGAAAAC